CUACGGGGGGCUCCAGUGAGGAAUAUUGCACAAUGGGGGGAACCCUGAUGCAGCAACGCCGCGUGGAGGGCUACGCAUUUCGGUGUGUAAACUCCUUUUAUAUUUCCCUCCCCUUCCUUUCUCCUCUGAAUACGCCCCGGCUCACUCCUUGCCCGCCGCCGCGGUAAUACGGAGGGUGCAAGCGUUACUCGGAAUCACUGGGCGUAAAGGACGCGUAGGCGGGUUGGAAAGUCAGGGGUGAAAUCCUACAGCUUAACUGUAGAAAUGCACUUGAAACUUCUAAUCUAGAGUAUGGGAGGGGUGAAUGUAAUUAUUGGUGUAGGGGUAAAAUCCGUAGAUAUCACUAGGAAUACCUAAAGCGAAGGCGAUCUCCUGGAACAUUACUGACGCUAAGGCGUGAAAGCGUGGGGAGCAAACAGGAUUAGAUACCCUCGUAGUC
rnacentral:rRNA from 1 species